CUACUUGUCUGAGGUCACAUUAGUUCAUGGAAGCAGACACAAACUGAAAGAACCUAGUGGGGAAACCCCCACUCAAUUCCCGAAUUGGCACACACCCAAGGAAUCACGAGAGACC
rnacentral:pre_miRNA from 7 species